rnacentral:rRNA from 1 species
GUGGGGAAUAUUGGACAAUGGGCGAAAGCCUGAUCCAGCCAUGCCGCGUGUGUGAAGAAGGCCUUUUGGUUGUAAAGCACUUUAAGCGAGGAGGAGGCUACCGAGAUUAAUACUCUUGGAUAGUGGACGUUACUCGCAGAAUAAGCACCGGCUAACUCUGUGCCAGCAGCCGCGGUAAUACAGAGGGUGCAAGAGUUAAUCGGAUUUACUGGGCGUAAAGCGCGCGUAGGUGGCCAAUUAAGUCAAAUGUGAAAUCCCCGGGCUUAACUUGGGAAUUGCAUUCGAUACUGGUUGGCUAGAGUAUGGGAGAGGAUGGUAGAAUUCCAGGUGUAGCGGUGAAAUGCGUAGAGAUCUGGAGGAAUACCGAUGGCGAAGGCAACCAUCUGGCCUAAUACUGACACUGAGGUGCGAAAGCAUGGGGAGCAAACAGGAUUAGAUACCCUGGUAGUCC